CAAAUACAGCGCGGUACGGUACAAGGACAGAAGUAAAAGCGAAAACUCGUGCGUAUUUAAAAUCUUUGCAAAGUUGCUUUUGAUUUCCAGCCAAGAUCAACAAUGGCACAGCACGGAAUACAUGAUGCUGAAGAAUUGCUAGAAUGUCCCUACGACCAAGUUCACAGGGUUAGAGCCAAGAGAUUCCAGGAUCAUCUACUCAAGUGUAGAAAUAAUUAUCAAGGAAAUGAGUAUGAACAAUGUCCAUUUAAUGCGGAGCAUCAGAUGCCGCAACCAGAAUUCAACCACCAUCUGGCAAACUGCCCAGACAAGGCAAAUGAUUGAACCAGAAUAGUUGAAACCAAAAAUGCAUGCAGAGAGAAAAGCUACAAAAACAGUUUUUAGCUCGACUAUUCGAAGUAUAUGGAGAGCUGUCCUACACGCCCCGGCGUCCGCGUCCAGAUUUCAGAUGCAGUAAAAUAUUUUUCACUAUAACUUUGUCAUUUCUUCAGGUAUCAACUUCAAACUUCAAAUAUAUGUUCCUUAUCAUCAACCACAUCUUAUGUGACAAGGUUCAUAACUCUAGCACCAAUAUUGCGAGAAUUAUCUCCCCAUAAACUUAGAUUUUUUUUUACUAGAAAAAUGUUAUUUUUUACUAUAACUUUUUUAGUUUUAAAGGUAUCUACCUCAAACUUCAAAUACUUAUUCCUUAUCAUCAAUUACAUUUUAUGUGACAAUGUUCAUAACUCUUGAAGCAAUUUUUACAGAUUAAUCUCUCUUUGAACUUAGGAUUUUCUUAAAGAAAUAAUAUAUCUUCUUUACUUUUAAAGGUAUCUUCUUCAAACUUCAAAUAUAUAUUUCUUAUCAUUACACACAUGUUGUGUGACAAGGUUCAUAACUCUAGUGUGACUAUUUCUAGAAUUAUUUCCCUUGAUAUUGGAAUUUAUGUUAACAAAUGUUUUUUUUUUACUAUAACUUAAUACAUAGUUGUACAUAAUUGAUUUUUCUUUCAUAGUUUUGUCCUCCUUACUGCAUCCAGUAUUUUAUUAGUCGAGCUUGGCUGUCUCCUGUGACAGCUCUUGUUUUAUUUGUUUGUUUGUUUAGUUUAUUUUUCUCUCUUUUUGCCACUUUUCUUGUGUAUUUUACAUAAAUGAGCUUAGUUUUAUUUAAUGUCUUAAAUCUUCUAAAACACCUGACUUAUAAUCAUAAAUAUGUUAUUAUGCCCUUCUUUGAAGAAGACGGGAUAUAUUGAUUUGCUAAUGUUGGUUGGUCUGUCUACCAGUCUGUCAGUCAGUAGACCACAUGGUUUCUGCCAAUUACCUUAAAAACCAUUUAUCACAAAGUCUUUAUAUUGAUCAUAACUAGUAGAUGACCCACAAAGUCUUCAUAUUUCACACAUCGAUUGGUCACAACUAGUAAAUAUUGAUUUUGGGGUUACUAGGUCAAAAGUCAAGGUCACUGCGGCCUUAAAUGUUACAAUGGUUUCUGCUCUUUAUGUAGGAAGCUAUCACAAACUCAAAGUCUUCAUAUUUCACACUCUGAUUGGUCAUAACUAGUUGAUGACCCCAAACAAUUUUGGGGUCACUAGGUCAAAUGUCAACGUCACAGGGACCUUGAAUGGUAGUAUGGUUUCAGCCCAUGAUCUUGUUUAUAACUAGGAGCUGACCCCUAUUGAUUUUGGAGUCACUAGUUCAAAGGUCAAGGUAACAUGGGCUUUGAAUGGAAGUAUAGUUUCCUCUCAUUACCUUGAAAACUAUUUAUCACAAACUCUUCAUAUUUCGCAUACUGAUUGGUCAUAACUAGUAGAUGUCCCCUUUUGAUGUUUGGGUCACUAGGUUAAAGGUCAAGGUCACAGCGGCCUUGACUGUUUAUGUGGUUUUGGCUCAUUAUCAUGAAUGCUAUUUAUAACAAAGUCUUUAUAUACUGAUUGGUCAUAACUAGAAGAUGACCUCUACUGAUUUUGGAGACUCUAGGUCAAAGGUCAAGGUCACAGGGACCUUAAUUGUCAGAAUGGUGUCUGCUUAUUAUCUUGAUUAUUUAUCCCAGUCUUCAUAUUUCACAUAUUGAUUGGUCAUAACAAGUAGAUGUCUGCUAUUGUUAUUGCGAUCACUUUGUCAAAGGUCAAGAAUACAGGGGCCUUAAAUGUCAGAAUGAUUCCCCCUCAUUAUCAUGAAAACUAUUUAUCACAUAGUCUUUAUAUUUCAAAUAUUAAAUAGUCAUAUGUAGCAGAUUACCCCUAAUGAUUUUGGGGUCACUAGUUCAAAGGUCACAGCAGCCUUAAAUGUAAGAAUGGUUUCUGCUUAUUACCUUGAAAAAACUUUUUAUCACAAAGUAUUUAUAUUUCUCAUAUUGAUUAGUCUGAAUUGGGUCACUAGUUCAAAGGUUAAGGUCUUUAUAUUUAACAUAUUGAUUGAUUAUAACUAGUAGGUCAUUAUUUUUCUUUUUUUCCAUAACUGAACAUUUCCAUGUACCCAUACAUGACAAGUUUCUAUAACGAAAUUACCAAUAAUAUCAGUCAAGGGCUUGAAAGGGGGCAUAUGUGUCCUUCGACAUUUCUUGUUUAUUAUCUUCUUAUCAUCACAUCUAGUAGUUAUCAUGUUUGUAUCCUUCUCUUGAAAUAAACGGACCUUAAACGUGGUUCCAAAAACAAA